GGAGGGGGCUAGCGUUGUUCGGAAUUAUUGGGCGUAAAGGGCGCGUAGGCGGCCCGGCAAGUCAGUCGUGAAAGCCCUCGGGCUCAACCGAGGAACUGCGAUUGAAACUGCCGGGCUUGAGUUCUGGAGAGGGUAGCGGAAUUCCCAGUGUAGCGGUGAAAUGCGUAGAUAUUGGGAGGAACACCCGUGGCGAAGGCGGCUACCUGGACAGAUACUGACGCUGAGGCGCGAAAGCGUGGGGAGCAAACAGGAUUAGAUACCCUGGUAGUCCACGCUGUAAACGAUGGGCACUUGGUGUUGCGGGUAUCGACCCCUGCAGUGCCGAAGCUAACGCAUUAAGUGCCCCGCCUGGGGAGUACGGUCGCAAAGGCUG
rnacentral:rRNA from 1 species